AGGAUUUUGGAUUUGGACUGCAGAUCACAUCUCUCUUACAGUUUGAAUCCAUUCAGAAUUAAUGGUCCAGUUGUCAAGAAAACAUUUCUAUUUCAAUUUCAGCGAUGAAGAACGAUACAGAUACAGGGAAUAUGCAGAAAGAGGUUAUGAGCGUCACAGAGCAAGUCGAGAGAAAGAAGAACGACAUAGAGAAAGACGACACAGGGAGAAAGAGGAAACCAGACAUAAGUCUUCUCGAAGUAAUAGUAGACGUCGCCAUGAAAGUGAAGAAGGAGAUAGUCACAGGAGACACAAACACAAAAAAUCUAAAAGAAGCAAAGAAGGAAAAGAAGCGGGCAGUG
rnacentral:sRNA from 1 species